rnacentral:rRNA from 1 species
CUUAAGCAUAUCAAUAAGCGGAGGAAAAGAAACCAACAGGGAUUACCUCAGUAACGGCGAGUGAAGCGGUAAAAGCUCAAAUUGAAAUCUGGCUCUUUUAGAGUCCGAGUUGUAAUUUGUAGAAGAUGCUUCGGGUGUGGUUCCGGUCUAAGUUCCUUGGAACAGGACGUCAUAGAGGGUGAGAAUCCCGUAUGUGACUGGAUACCUAUGCUCAUGUGAAGCUCUUUCGACGAGUCGAGUUGUUUGGGAAUGCAGCUCAAAAUGGGUGGUAUAUUUCAUCUAAAGCUAAAUAUUGGCCAGAGACCGAUAGCGCACAAGUAGAGUGAUCGAAAGAUGAAAAGCACUUUGGAAAGAGAGUUAAACAGUACGUGAAAUUGUUGAAAGGGAAGCGCUUGCAAUCAGACUUGCACUUGGUGUUCAUCGGGGUUUCUACCCCGUGUACUUCAUCAAGUUCAGGCCAGCAUCAGUUUGGGUGGUUAGAUAAAGGCUUAGAGAAUGUGGCCCUCUUCGGGGGGUGUUAUAGCUCUAGGUGCAAUGUAGCCUACCUGGACUGAGGACCGCGCUUCGGCUAGGAUGCUGGCGUAAUGGUUGUAAGCGACCCGUCUUGAAACACGGACCAAGGAGUGUACCUAAUAUGCGAGUGUUUGGGUGUUAAACCCAUACGCGUAAUGAAAGUGAACGGAGGUGAGAGCCCUUAAGGGUGCAUCAUCGACCGAUCCUGAUGUCUUCGGAUGGAUUUGAGUAAGAGCAUAUUGGGUGCGACCCGAAAGAUGGUGAUCUAUACGUGAAUAGGGUGAAGCCAGAGGAAACUCUGGUGGAGGCUCGCAGCGGUUCUGACGUGCAAAUCGAUCGUCAAAUUUGCGUAUAGGGGCGAAAGACUAAUCG